CAAGUUUUAACGCUGAGUUUCCGUAAAAGGAAAACGGGGGAACCGCUGUCAAGGUCGGAACAGCUUUUGGGCCGAUACAACAGGAAACAAUUUGGGGUGAAUCUCAAUGGCAGGUGCAGGCAGCACCGCCGGCGAGUAGGGCAGCUCUCACGGCCCGAAUCCGUCAGCUAACCUCGUAAGCGUACCGGGAGAGAUA
rfam:Paenibacillus sp. HGF7 contig00269, whole genome shotgun sequence.